CUCUAAUUUCUGUAUGUUUUUCUCUUUCUUUCUCUCCCAUGUUCUUCCUCUUCUUCACAUACGACCGUCGGUGCUCCAUCACCACCGCUAUUCUUCUCUCAAUCAUUUUCAGCAUAGCAGAACGACUUGGUUUGGAAUGAGCUUCUAUCAAUCAUUUUCUUCUCAAAUUUAGGGAAGCGAGAAUAACAGCUGCUGCAGGAUUUCAGUGAGAUCCAUGAAUUCGGGGAACUGGUUGAAGAUGAGGAAGAGAUGGUGGUUGGUAUGAAGGUCUGUUAGAUGGGUUUGAUGGACGAAGAAAUUGAAGCAGAGAAGUUAGGGUUUCAAGGAAUAUAGAGAUGGGUUUGUGUUUAUGUUCAAGCUGAGGGGAAAUCAAGGGAUAAUCUCAACGUGAUAAAUUUUCCAAACCCCAGACAUAAAACAACUACAACAACAACAGACAAUUAUUUAACCCCGAUCUGAAAUCAGACGGAAAAAGGAUACUCCUACAUUUUUUAAUUAGGGACAAUCAAGUGGAGUCUUUCUUUAAAUUUGUGUUGUAAAUCAUCGAAAUUUGGUUAUUGAAUUUUGAUUUGGUUGUGUUAUCAUGUCGAGAAAGAUGCUAAUCGAUGGAGAAGUGAACAUCUCUAACGAACAGGAAUAUGAUUACGAUCUGUUUGUGAUUGGUGCUGGUAGUGGUGGUGUUCGUGCUUCUAGAACUUCAGCUGCUUAGGGAGCUAAGCUUUGAAUGAAGAUUUCUGGUGGAUGAUUGCAGGUGGAAAUAGGAGCUUGUAUUGCUGUGUUAUUUUUGGCAGUAUUGACAAAGUCUAGUUUGAAUUAAGAGAUGUUGGAGCUGUGUUCUGUUCUUAAAGGAGUUGCUUCCAUGGUCACAAUUGCUAGGUGGUCAUUGAACUGAUGCUGCAACAGAUGGCUAGAUGGCUGCAGUUUUGGUGUUAAUACAGUGAAUGGCUGAUUGAGGCUUAGCUGGAUUUUGGCAGUUAAGUUGCAGAUAGAGCUGGCAUAGCAGGUAGUUUUGGAGACUGUAAGUGGUGCUGCAGGCUAGAUAAGGAACUGAACUGAAUUAUGUCAAGUAUGGAACAAGUGGAGAAGCCAUGAAUAAGGCUGUGAAGACAUUUGUUAGCAGUCAUUAUGAUGGGAAGAAGUAGAGGGGGAUUGUCACAAAGAUCUGGUGGGAGAGUUGAUCCUUUGCAGAAUUUUGUGUCAGAGAGAAGUGCAGUUGCAAGACAGAAGCCACCAACAAAUGGACCAUUACACGCUUGAACUCGAUGUUGAGUUUGCUGCCAUUGAAAAAGCAUAUGAGGACAGCCAAUAAGAGUUACGGGGCAAGUUUGAGUAAACAUUUCAGGGUGAAGUGUAAGCGUAAUCUCCAAAUUUCUUUAAAAAAUCCUGCUGAAGGCUGAAAACUUGGAAAACUGGGCCAACCUGUGGAAUUACUUGAGAGCACCGGAAUUUCAUGGCAAGAUCGAAGAGGGCCUGUUUUUUUUUCAUAGGAAAGAUCGAAGAGGGAAGACCAAAUUUUUGGAUCAUUCUAAUUUUGAUAGAAGUUGAACUUUGUAUUUUAUUGUUCUAAUUUGAAUUGUUCACUAUUUGUAUUGAUGCUGCGAACAGGAAGAUAUGAAGGAUGAAACAGAGUAGGUCCAAAUUCAUCAAGUUAAUGAAUGUGGCUUUAAAGAAUUUAGGUCAAGCUUCUCUGCCAAAGGAUGCACUAGAUCCAAAUGUGAAACAUAGGAUGGAGGGCGACAACUUGAAGAUGAGAAUGAUGCUUAUAGCGAGGACGAGGAAAACGAGAGAUAUGGCGAAGAAGAAAAUAUGGUGGAUGGUCAGUAUUGGGAAUGAUGGGGAAUUGGAUGAGCAUAUAAUGAAGCUAAAGAGGAUGAGGAAUGAAUGGAAGUCUGACGUCGCUGGACUUCUUAUGCUUCAAUUGUGCUAUAAACUAGAUGUAGUAGCUCAACCUCUUGUUCUUCAACAAUAAUCUGAUUCCUGGACCGCUUAUGCUACAACCUAAUUGUAGUCGCUGAAUCUCUCGUGCUUCAAAAAAUAUGCAGCCGCUGCAGCUGUUGUUCCACCACUACUAUGUAGUCGCUCAACCUCUUAUGCUUCAACAAAAAUGUUAUCGCUGAACCUCUUGUACUACAACAUAAUCGUACUCGGUGAACCUGCUCUGCAAUGUGAUGAAGAUUAGUCGCAGCACAUGUUUGACUACACCCAUGCGACUGAAACGCGCCAGUAACAAGAAUUGUAUAGUGAUCAGGUAUUAUAGCCGCUGAUGAUUGUAGAAAUGCAUCUCUAGCGACAACAGUGUCGCUGCGAACCUCUUAGUCACAUACUUUCUUGCGACACCGAUGCAACUACAGAAAUUUAGCCGUUGGAGGGCUGUAGAAUUUAAAAGUGACAUCUUGCGUCUGUAUUGUGUUUGUCGGUAAAGGCCAGUUUUCUUGUAGUGGUACAUGUCAACCAAUUACUUUAGGUUGAAUAGAUUACUAAAGAUAGUUAUCUUGUUGUGAUAUGUCAACAUAUACUGGUUUGUU